AUGAACGCUAGCUACAGGCUUAACACAUGCAAGUCGAGGGGCAGCAUGAACUUAGCUUGCUAAGUUUGAUGGCGACCGGCGCACGGGUGAGUAACACGUAUCCAACCUGCCGAUGACUCGGGGAUAGCCUUUCGAAAGAAAGAUUAAUACCCGAUGGCAUAGUUCUUCCGCAUGGUAGAACUAUUAAAGAAUUUCGGUCAUCGAUGGGGAUGCGUUCCAUUAGGUUGUUGGCGGGGUAACGGCCCACCAAGCCUUCGAUGGAUAGGGGUUCUGAGAGGAAGGUCCCCCACAUUGGAACUGAGACACGGCCCAAACUCCUACGGGAGGCAGCAGUGAGGAAUAUUGGUCAAUGGACGAGAGUCUGAACCAGCCAAGUAGCGUGAAGGAUGACUGCCCUAUGGGUUGUAAACUUCUUUUAUACGGGAAUAAAGUGAGGCACGUGUGCCUUUUUGUAUGUACCGUAUGAAUAAGGAUCGGCUAACUCCGUGCCAGCAGCCGCGGUAAUACGGAGGAUCCGAGCGUUAUCCGGAUUUAUUGGGUUUAAAGGGAGCGUAGGCGGACGCUUAAGUCAGUUGUGAAAGUUUGCGGCUCAACCGUAAAAUUGCAGUUGAUACUGGGUGUCUUGAGUACAGUAGAGGCAGGCGGAAUUCGUGGUGUAGCGGUGAAAUGCUUAGAUAUCACGAAGAACUCCGAUUGCGAAGGCAGCUUGCUGGACUGUAACUGACGCUGAUGCUCGAAAGUGUGGGUAUCAAACAGGAUUAGAUACCCUGGUAGUCCACGCCGUAAACGAUGUCGACUUGGAGGUUGUGCCCUUGAGGCGUGGCUUCCGGAGCUAACGCGUUAAGUCGACCGCCUGGGGAGUACGGCCGCAAGGUUAAAACUCAAAUGAAUUGACGGGGGCCCGCACAAGCGGAGGAACAUGUGGUUUAAUUCGAUGAUACGCGAGGAACCUUACCCGGGCUUGAAUUGCAACUGAAUGAUGUGGAGACAUGUCAGCCGCAAGGCAGUUGUGAAGGUGCUGCAUGGUUGUCGUCAGCUCGUGCCGUGAGGUGUCGGCUUAAGUGCCAUAACGAGCGCAACCCUUAUCGAUAGUUACCAUCAGGUUAUGCUGGGGACUCUGUCGAGACUGCCGUCGUAAGAUGUGAGGAAGGUGGGGAUGACGUCAAAUCAGCACGGCCCUUACGUCCGGGGCUACACACGUGUUACAAUGGGGGGUACAGAAGGCAGCUACACGGCGACGUGAUGCUAAUCCCUAAAGCCUCUCUCAGUUCGGAUUGGAGUCUGCAACCCGACUCCAUGAAGCUGGAUUCGCUAGUAAUCGCGCAUCAGCCACGGCGCGGUGAAUACGUUCCCGGGCCUUGUACACACCGCCCGUCAAGCCAUGAAAGCCGGGGGUACCUGAAGUGCGUAACCGCAAGGAGCGCCCUAGGGUAAAACUGGUGAUUGGGGCU
rnacentral:rRNA from 1 species